CGGGGCUCGAUCCCAGGAUCCUGGGACCAUACCCUGAGCUGGAGACAGACGCGCAACGAUUGAGUCACCCACGUGCUCCAGAUGAAAAAACAUCAUUAAAAGACAUCAUUACCCUAUACUGUGCCAUUUUGUACCUCUUAACACCUCUGCCCCACCUUGCCUCCCCCCCACAUUGGUGAACACUGCCUUCUGCAGUGACACUUGUAUACGAAAGUGCUUGGCUGUCAGCCUCGACACGAGCUCUUGGUCUGUGCUCUAACUACCUCAGGUGGGCAGAGGCACCUUGAAGUUCCCUUCAAGGUGCUAAAUCCUGACAAGUCAGAUGGGGUUUUCAGAGCAGAAUCGCAGAAUACCUCAUAAUGGGUAUGGUUAUUCUUACUAAAUUCACCCCAUGUAUUUUCUGGAUAUACAUUGACACAAUGGAUUGUGCAGGUUUGGGGAACUGUGGGAAAUAGUUCCGUAAGAAAUUAGGCAAAAGGAAAGCAAUGCAGACCUUUGGAAUUUCCUUCAAGAAGAUCAGUCGUGAUGGGAAGUAAGCUAGAGCUUGAGGAGAGAGGCAGAAGCUGUGGAGAAGUGACGGUACCUGAGGCUCCUAGCCCGCCUAGGACUGUGUCGGGCUGCAGGGUUCCUGUCCCUUGGAGAGUUGUCUCUUCAGAUAACAGACCUACUGGGGAAUGGCCAUGAUUACGUAGUGAGAUAUCUAGCGUGUGUUCACUCGGGGCACUCAGUUCAUAUAAACUAGUGCAAGUGGGGAGUUACAAAAGUGGUUGCAAUGCUGAGCAAUGAGGCGACUUGUUGCCCCCCAGACAGGGCCUGCUACUUGAGGUGGAGGCUGCGCUGGUGAUCCUCACCAUCUAGGUUUUGGACUCAGGCUUGCAGGUCGGGACACUGAAUUUUGCCUGGGAGGCCAGAGUUGGUCGGGAGCAGGUGACUGAGUCUCCAUACCCGAGGUCCUAAAAGACCGACCAAGUCUCCUCUACUUCCUGUCUCAUGGAAGACUUUUCUUUCUGGAAACUAGACUUCAACACGCUAUAUGUUCUUACUUGAGUUGGUUGUAUGUUCUCACUUGAAUUUCCAGACACUCCCUUGUCAAAAUUCAGGUUCUUAGGUGGCAGAGCUAGUCCUCAAAAGAUGCGUGGGGAAUCUAUAGGAUGCCCUGGAAGUGUUGUGCCCCGGAUGUGUGCCACGUGACAGCCUGGGACCCAUAGCCUGGAUAAUAUCACAGCCGUGGUGAAGAACCAAGGCGCAAUGCAGACAACGUCCCCUGACACAGCUAGUUAAGGGCCAGGGUUCAUGUUUAACCCAGGAGACUGGCGUUAGAACCUGAGCAUGCAACAGGCAGCUAACGCCACUAAAUUAUUACAGUUGUGGCUGGAAGACAGGGAGAUUUAAGUCUGUGUUACAGACUUCGACACAUUGUUCGAAAAGACUCUUCAACCCUACCUUCAUCUGAAGAUAGGCAGGCUUGUGUU